GGGGCCGGCGCGCCUGCGCACUGCUGAGUGUGCCAGCGGGACGCGCGCGCAGCUGUCUCGGCUGUUUUGUGGUGAGAAGGAAACAUUUAUUACAGUACCGUUUCUCAUGGAACAAGAACACGUAGUUUCAUGGUGCACGGCUGCCAGAUGUUUCCCAGGUUUCAAUGUCCCAGGUAGAUAAAGGAAAAUUCGGCAAGGUCAGAAGAGAGAAGAACAGAUUUAUCAUGAAAUAGGAAUGGUAACUGUGUCCCAAGUGUACAGAAGGGGAAGAAUUGAAGUCUUUCUGACAUGAAGCAAAGACACACAACAAUAAAUGAAGAUUUCUAAACCUCCAGUGACAUCAAGAAACCAAUCUGUUCCGGAUGAAAAUGAGAGAAGUUAUCUGUGUAGUGAAAAGUGUUUACAUUGGUAUUAAAGAGCAAAGCAGAUCUCUUUGUCUGGGGCCAAGACUCAUCCAAGGGGACCUGACCUUGUUUGGGAUGGGGUCUUUACUGCUGGGUUAUAGGAGACAAUUAAAGCAAAGAAACCUCACAAGCAGAUGGCCAAGAGACUCGGUGAGUGGUAUCAGAUUCUUAUUGCAUACAAUCUUCAAUAGCAUAAAAGAGAUUGUUUAAAAAAAAACCCAACAACCCUUAUAACCAAUGUCUGUUAGAAUUUUGAACCUUUCAAUCACUGCUUUAUUAGAAGGAACAUCCUCCUGAUUUGAGCCAAGAACACUCAAGAGGCACACUCACUGAGUUGCAUGAGAAUGGAGAGAGAACAUUUGUGAACUCAAAACCUGGC
rnacentral:lncRNA from 1 species